UCCGGUUUGGCACCGGCAGUCUCCCUAGAGUCCCCGGCUUUACCCGCUGGCAACUAGGAACAGGGGUUGCGCUCGUUGCGCCACUUAAGGCAACACCUCACGGCACGAGCUGACGACAGCCAUGCAGCACCUGUGCGGGCUCCCGAAGGAGCACCGUGUUUCCACGGCUUCGCCCCGCAUGUCAAGCCCUGGUAAGGUGGGGAUGACGUGUAGGAACACCAAC
rnacentral:misc_RNA from 1 species